rnacentral:rRNA from 1 species
UCAGCCAGCCAUAUAACUUUGCAACUCACAACUGGCAAACCACUGAAGCUAAGCAGGCGUGAGCCUGGUCAGUACCUGGAUGGGAGACCUCCUGGAAAAAUCUAAGGUUGCUGCUGGAA